CUCACCUGAGUUAGCCGUUUCCUGCUGAUCUUUUGUUUCCAAGACCCUGCUCCAGCAGCCCCUCUGGAGACUGAAAUCCCAGGCUCCUAGCAGCCACUUCCUGGCUAAUGGGGACCAAGCCCAAUCAUUCUCCUUUUUCAGGCCUUGUCAGGAGGCCUGCACGCAGAGGGGGCUGGGGGCGGGGAGCUCCGGAGGAGCGGAGCGUGGGCAGAUGUCCUCAUGAAAAAUUUACAGGGAAUAAUCAGAGGCCCCUGCUCUUCCCCCUCCGGGCGAAGUCCCCCCUCGGCGUGUUGCCCAGGCCCCUGCAAGAAUAUUGGAAAAUGCCCCCAUCAGGCUGAAGCAAAUCUGGCUCUGGGGGGCUCAUGCAGGGCGUUUAAUGCACUUGGCUGUCCUCGGAGACUGGGUUGCAAAUGCAGUUCUGGCGAAAUUGAUGAAGUAUCAGUUAAUCUGAGGCUGACAGUCUGGAGAGGUCACAGCUGCGAGGGGCGGCCAGGGUCUCCCAGAGAGGGGACGGAGAAGAGUUAAAGGGACAGACAGAGCCCAGUGGGAAGGAAGCUCAUCUUCGCCACGUGGGCACCCCCAAACCUUUGCCAUCACCAGGUCUCUGACCCUCCCCCACAAUAAGCAGUUCCAAUCAGGACCACGACACAGCCCCUUCUUCCAAACCGCCUCUCGGAUGUUCCCUCUGCUUGGGAGGGAGGGUGUUGAGCGCUGCUGUUCCCAAUUGAAACAGGCAGUUAGCUCUCCUAAUGCAAAUUUCCUUUUUUAAUUGGAGCUCUGAGUCAUGUCUGCCGGGCCCUGCGUUUCCUGCUACAGGAAGGUUUGUCUAGGUAAAUGGCAGAGCCACAGAUGGUGGGCCAGGCACUGCUCAGAAGGAAUUUUCUGGGAGUGCUCUCGACUCUGCGGAAGGAGAUCAGAACAGAUACAAACCCACGUUUAUCCUGAGUUGUGGAAAUCUAGGACUGCAGGAGCUGGUUAUCCAUCACUCAGAGAUGUUGCAGUACAGCCUCCUCAAAGGCCUGGUACAUUACCGAGUGGCUCUUAGAUUCCAUUCGCCAUAAUUGGGCUUUAUGGGAUAUGAAGCAGCAAGGGUUUUGGAGCCGAACACCGUGGGUUGGAUCCUGGCUCCCCUGUGCUUAGAGACAGAUUUCGUCGUUAUCACCAUUUGCUUCUGGGGAAAAGAGGUGGCCAUGGACUUUCUAUGAUUAAAUGGUUGAGUAGAUCUCAGAGCUGGGAUCCUAACCUACUUUCUCACCCUUUUCCUUCUAUCCUUUUCUUUAACAACAAGACUAAAAGUACCACUAUUUUCAGUCAGUAAGAAAAAGGCUAUUAGCAAGAAUGCGAGUUCUCCAAAAUCACAUGGGGAACUUGUCCACAAAGAGAACAGCCUUUCUUGAGAGGCUUUGAGGUGCUGUAAGCAGAUCUCAGAUGAGUGUGGUCCACUUAGAGGCAAGGGGCCAGGGCUUGUGCUUCCUGUCCCCAGCAUGGCAUCUCACGUGCUCUGGGCUGUGCGGAAGGGGCAGUUUGGCAUCCGUCACGAUUACACAGGAUGCCUUGUUCUGAGAUGCUCAUGUCCCACCUCCUAACUCUGGAAGGCACCUUCCUGGACAUGCUAGGGGCAGCUCUGGAGGUGAUGCCCUGACACACACACUGUCCCCUCCUCAGAGUCCUGCCGGCCCUGCCUGGGGGCCAGGGCCUGAAACUGCUGUCAUGGAGAUGUUGCCUGGCCUUAAGGUGAUUUCAGGCAGAAAGGUAAAUCCAGUCCCUCUGACUCCUUGGCCAGAAACAGAAGUCUCAUGCAUUUUGAUUUAAUCAAGGAAAACCUCCUGGAACUCCAUUUCAUCAUUUACAUAUGGAACUAAACACACACACACACACACACACACACACACACACACACACACACACACCCUACAAACAUGCCUCCCCCCUACAAACCCUUUUUUAAAAAGAGUUUAUGUCAAACAUUUGAUACAUAUUAACAGCUUAUUAUUUGCCACAGGAUAGCUUAAGUGGUUCUCCACCUGAGAAAUUUUGCCUCUGGAAGAGACUUUGGAAAAGUUGGGAACAUUUGCGGUUGUCACAAGUGUGGGGCUUGGUGCUCCCGGCAUCUAGGCAUCUAGCGGGCAGGCACCAAGACACUGCUGAACACCCUCCAGGCCAUAACUCCCCUCCCCCCAUGCCAAAGACAUUAUUGUCCCAAACGCCAACUCAGAAACCUUUAUAUGGGUUCACAGUAAAGAGAAAAAAGGAGCAUAGUGCCUAAUAACUUAGAUGGAACAGGAGCAAGCACAAGAUUUAUGUGUCUUCCGUCCCAGAACAUCAGCCUGAGGGUGGAAGAUGGAAUUCAGUCUGGUCCUCGAGCUGAUUUUUCCUUCCCGACAUUUUGGAAAAAACUUGUUUGGCCUCAGUUUCCUUGUCUGUAAAAGAAAUAGUUGGACUCCGUAAAUUAUCAGUCAGAACUCAGAGGUGCUAUGUGGCAGCUCACAAAUAAAGGGAGGAAAAGGAGACAGAAAUUAAUAUUCAGGCAGAGCUUCAGUGUCGGGGACCCUGUGGGGUUGGACUCUGGUGUUGAGGUGGCAACCCCUUUGCUAAGGAGACAGGCCAGCCAGUCCCCUUCUUUCUUAGUCCCUGAAUCAGAUCCCAGGGCCCAGAGCCCCCUUCUCACCGGUGAAGAACCUGGGAGGCAGAAGGUACAAAUGAUUAAAGAAGAUGUUUCAUGGGGAUGCUGUUGUCGUCAGAGCCGAGACUUCUCUCCUGCACUGCCACUGCACCCCUGUCUCCUCUAGGCUUGAAUGCUUAGCUGCAGGAAAGCAAGAAAGAACCUGAGAAUGACAUCUCCAAGCACAUUUCUAAAUGUUGAAGCCAGAAUGUGUAGAUGUUGGUAUGUUAGGUACUUUUUUCUGAUCCUGUAACAAAGGUAUCAGUGCAGCUACUGGGAGCCAUGUGCUGGUCUCCCUGGCAGGAGAACUGAACCUCACUCCAGUGUGAGAAGCAGCCUUCUCUGUCGGCUCUGUUGCUGUAAGCAUCACAUGAGACUCCAGCUAAAGUACAAAACUGGAGCUUCUGUUGUGGCUCAGCAGAAACAAUAUGACUAGUAACCAUGAGGAGGUAGGUUCCAUCCCUGGCCUUGGUCAGUGGGUUAAAGAUCCAGCGGCAACGUGAGCUGUGGUGUAGGUCGCAGAUGCAGACUGGAUCCCAAGUUGCUAUGGCUGUGGUGUAGGCCAGCAGCUACAGCUCCGAUUCAACCCUUAGCCCGGGAACCUCCAUAUGCC
rnacentral:lncRNA from 1 species